rnacentral:rRNA from 1 species
GAUGAACGCUAGCGGCAGGCUUAACACAUGCAAGUCGAACGGACUCAUAUUGAAACCUAGUGAUUUAUGAGUUAGUGGCGGACGGGUGAGUAACGCGUGGAAAACCUGCCGUAUACCGGGGGAUAACACUUAGAAAUAGGUGCUAAUACCGCAUAAGCGCACAGCUUCGCAUGAAGCAGUGUGAAAAACUCCGGUGGUAUAUGAUGGUUCCGCGUCUGAUUAGCUAGUUGGCGGGGUAACGGCCCACCAAGGCAGCGAUCAGUAGCCGGCCUGAGAGGGUGAACGGCCACAUUGGGACUGAGACACGGCCCAA